rnacentral:rRNA from 1 species
UACGUAGGGUGCGAGCGUUGUCCGGAAUUACUGGGCGUAAAGGGUUCGUAGGUGGCUUGCUCAGUCAGACGUGAAAUCCCUCAGCUUAACUGGGGAACUGCGUCUGAUACUGGCGAGCUUGAGUGCAGGAGAGGAACGCGGAAUUCCAGGUGUAGCGGUGAAAUGCGUAGAUAUCUGGAGGAACACCGGUGGCGAAGGCGGCGUUCUGGACUGCAACUGACACUGAGGAACGAAAGCCAGGGGAGCAAACGGG